UCUUGAGUUUCCCUGUUAUCACACAUCACCUGAACUGUGUCUGUCCUGAUGUGGGAAAACACAAGGAGAAAGGAAUCACAGGCCCACUGUGUCUGUGUAUUUUCUCUUAAGUCUGGGGCAUAUGUUACAUAAUAAAUUUCAUUGCAAUUUAAGUGUAGUCAGAUUAUUUUGAGUUUGCCAUGAAUAUGAACGCGUAUCUGCCCAUUACGAUGAUCAAACUGAAAAAGCUUAAACGUUAUCAAACUGUGGCAGCUAGUUCACAUGUCUCGUAAAAUACUUCUAGGACCCAUUUAUGCCAAGUUCGUGCAAGUUUCUCAUGUAUACAAGUCUCAUCUUAGAUCAAGGCAUCCUGUGAUCAUGUGUCAUGCAUCCGUAAUAGCAUUACAAACAGGGUAACAAGUGGCCAGACUUAGCACAAACGCAGCUGUGGGGAGUCCGACCUAGUGAAAUCUAGUUUAUCUGAAGUCUAGUUUAUGAAUGUUCUUGCAAGACAGCUAACACAGUACUGCACCUUCAAAUGAUACAUCAGUGGCCUUUUGCUUCCUACAGUGAAAAGAAACAUAGACCACAGCACAGAAAAUCAGUUCGGGAAAGUUCCUUGUGACAAAAAUGCAUUCUUGCUUAAGAGCAUCUAGCAUCCUCUGCCCAACCCAAAACCACAGAGGCUAAGUGACAAGUAAGUCUCCUUCUCUAAAGCCAUAAUGAAGAGCUAUAUUAACAAGGCAAUAAAAAAAGCUUGUAAUAAAUUAACUGCUUAGUUUUUUCAGGGAACAUAAAAUUUUUUCCUCAGUUUCAGUCCAUUCAAUCCUCUGCGCUAAAAUGCUCCCAAUGGCUGGCAGUUGCUUGGUCCCAUGGGCAAGCCAUGCUCUCCCUGUGGGAGGUCUGCUGAGGAUGCUGCCCACCCAUGGCAUGGAGUAUGCAAUGUCUGUCUUCUCUACUCACCCACAGUGCAGCAACAAGGAGCCCAGAAAGCUUACUUAAUACCUCCCCGUUUGUGUGCAAUUUCUUUCUGUUCCUGCAGAAACAGAAUAUCAACGUCAUCCUUGCAAAGAUAAGAAAGAACCAGGCUAAAGUAUGACCUUCACUUCCAUACAGUCGUUUUAUCGUGGCUAUAUAUUAUGAGUCGCAGGAUCCUAAAGAGCAGCAGAUAUGACAUUCAUAUGCUCAUGUUAUUGGUUAAUUGUUUGCUAUAUAUCAAAUUCAGUAGGCUGAACCCCUUGAUAGGAAAUUUUUUGGUACAAAAGUGUAUGUGCAUGCACACUCACGAAUGUGUGUGCACAGACAUGAGGUGUCCACAUGUGUGUUGAACAGCUCCCCGUGAGAAGUGAUGUUUUAACAGUGUGUUUGCUGGAGUAAAUGGUGCUCACACAGUUCCCAAGCAGAUGUAAGUUACCCAUAUGCUGUGCAUUUUUAUCUCUUAAACCAGAUUUACUGUGAAAUUAUGUGCAGUAUGAGAUGGUGAUUUUUAGCUUAUCUAUUUAUCUCUACUGGGACUUGGAUUUUUGUCUUGCUUUACUUGUCUGUGAGCCUCCCAGUAGAAGAUUCAUUUGCAUUCACUGAGAUGAUAAACAGUUUUUAUUCUCCAGUCCUGUUAUCAUUUUCUAUUACUUUUUCUUUAAUCAAUUAUUUUUAUUCAUUGAUAACCAGGCUUGUAAAAACAACUUUGAAUAACCAGCACACUAAAACACCCACUAGAAAACAGUUUACAAGAAAUAUCUGUCCCCUGCCCUUUGAUGAGUUUUCAUCCUAUUCUAAGCAAACAUUUUGGAACCAAGUCCUUUAUCGUAGGCUGUCCAACAGCUAGAUACAGAUGCACCCAUCUAUCUAUCUGUCUGUCUAUCUAUCUACCUAGCUAUUUACCUUUGGUUUGCUAAUUGAAACAUUUUUCCUGGAUAGUUUGCUUUCUCAGCAGUUAUUUGCAACAUCUGAAACAAAGUGAAUAUAAAAAGGACCGACUUUGGGAAGUUUUCUUUAAAUGCUCAGAUCCUCAGUGCUUCAUAUUCUCAGGAAAAAAAAAGCUGAACAGAGACCCUUAAACAGAAUUCAGUAUAUGGAAGGAGGAAAAUAUAGUUGUAUUAAAUAAGGAACAGAGGGCCCGCCAUGCAUUAGAUGGCUUGCAACCCAGAUUGGAUUUGCACUGAAGGCUCAUCAAAAUGCAUAUCAGAAAGAAGAUCUACCCAUCAGCUUGCUGAGAUUUCAGACAGGCAUCCUAUCAAACUGGUUCCCAAAUGUCUGAAGUAGCCCCUUACCAUGAAUCAAACUACACUUCUGUCACAGGGCUCCAGUUAUGCUUGUGUCUUACCCUGAGGAGGUAUCCAAGCAGACAGCUAGCAGAAAUCUGGAAGACCAUACAUUCACCCCUUCAUUUCCAAGUCCCCUGUAAGAUGUGGAGCUUUAUUAUGUUUACCUGGAAUGUGAAGUGGUCCAUUUCAUACAACACUGGAAAACGAAGGUCAAUGAAGAUCCUUAAAGAAAUUGGGCUUAGUAAUAGUGACUCUUUUCGUCAGAUUUCAUUUUGUGGGAAUCAUUCCUAUAAUUCUCUGCUUUUCUGAGGAUUUUCUCUAUAUUACCUUCACAACCCUGACCAAGAAAAA